GCCGGGCACGGAACACAAUGUGGCUCCUUGUUCCCCAGCCCGGCCGAGCCUCCUGGAAUUGGCCCAUUUCCUGCCUGGGCCGUGGGGCCUUUUCCAAGGACCCCCUCGUUUGUACAAGGCAGCUGCUAGAGCCUGUCUCCUGCCUGGCCUGCCCUCUGAGUGCUGGCACCCACCUGUGUGCCUGGGUCGGCCUCCACUCGGACAUCUCACAGACAUCUCAUGUACUCAGCCACCACGGCAGCUGGAACAGGAUUCCUGUCUGCCCCUCACCCUUUCCCACCCUGCUGCCUCUCCUCAGUCCUCACCAUGGGGGGGUGACAUCACAUCCAAUGGGGCUUUGUGUUUAGAAACUUGCACGCACCUUGGAUUCCCAGCGCCGGGUUCAUAGGCCAGUCCACGGAAUAUCCUGAAUCCAUUCUGUUCGUUGUAAUCACACAACCUUAUUGGAUGUGAUUCGUGUGCCCAGCUCAUCUCUCUGAAAGAACCAGGCAAUAAAGAAGCUUUAGAGACAGAUGGAUUUUUCUCUCUGACAUAUCGACUUCAGCGUGGUCCCAUGGGGACGCGAUCAGAUAGCAGAGUUUGGUCUGAAAUCGGGACCCUGUCUAUUCUCAAGAUGUGUGGCUCUGAGGCCGGUCCAGGUGCCCAGCCUUCCUCUCCCCUGGGGGCAGGGCCAGUCCUCCAAGCAGGGUCACCUCCUCUUUGAGCACAGGGAGAAGAAGGGGCAGGGGAGCUCCGUCCAGGAGGGAUCCAUCACUCUGGCAAUGUCCCUGCAAGGAAAUAAGGUUGGCUACAGAGAGGGUCCCCUAUAAGUCAGUGCCCCAGAGAGCUGGGAGCAGAGGCGAGCCAGCCUGAGGCCCCUCCACAGCUGGAGCUGUAAUGCUUGGACUGGCUGCCAGGGCCGGGCAGGAUAAGGUUCUGGGGAGGGGAAUCUAUGCUGUCCUGGCACAGCCUUUGCCUCCCCUCUGCAGCCCUGACACCUGGGCCUAUCAUCCACAGUCCUGGUCAGAGGCUCUCACCUCCACUCUGAAAAGUGGACCUCCUAUCACCCAGCCUCUGGCACAGGUGUGGAGCCCCUUGCCUGCCCCUGGCUUGGGCUGACCCUCACCAACUUGCCAUGCUCUUGCCAUCCCGUGAUGGGUGUGAGGGGGAUAGAAUGAUAGAGAGGGCCGGAUUGGGACUCAGGAUCACCCCCACCCUGCAUAAACCCAUCAGAUCCCACGGAUGAAUCACACUUCGUGCAGGGCCAGGUGGGUAAAGACACAAAGUCUCGGGAGCAUGCUGCUGGGCUAGUGAGAUAGGUCCUGGCCCACACAGCCUCUGGGGUGAACCCCAGCAGGAGACCCAAACCAGGAGCAGCUAGUUCUGUGAGAGUUGAAGAAUAAAAUUCAAAAGAGAAGGAAUGGCUCAUUAAUCACCUAAAAUCAGUGUAGUAUUAGAUUUCUUCACAGUGAAGAUGAUGUCAUGUGUGAAUUCUUAAAGGUAGAUAGGAGUUUCUCAGGCUAUUGGGUGAUAGUUGGGACAGGAAAAUGCAGGAAAAGAGAAGAGUAGGUGCAAAGACCUGGAGGCCUUUGAAAGAAUGUGGCCUAUUCUGGAAACAGUGAAAAGUUCAAUGUGUUAGUUACAGUGAUAGAAAGGCUGUGGCUUCAACAAGAUGGAAGCUUCUCUCCUCCACCCACCCCCUGCCCCCCCUUCUCAUGGAAAAGUUCAGAGGGAGGCAGGCAGGGCUGACAUAAUGGCUUAGCUCCAUGAAUUCCUCAGGGACCCAGACUCUUGCCAGCUUACCACACAUCCCUGGAAUGUGGGUUUUGACCUCUUGGCCCAAGAUGGCAGUUAGAGUCCCAGCCAUUGCACCCACAUUCCAGGCAUUGGCAUGGAGGAAGAGGUGAAGAGGAAGGAGGGGUGAGUAUACACGUCAGUGUACUGAAGGAAGGCUUUCAGAAGCUGACAGGUGACACUGUUUAUAACCUGUUGGCCAGAACUUGGUUUCUAACCACCCUAGCCACAAGGACAGCCAAGAGAUUAUUCUGGGUGGCCACAUGUCCUGCUAAAACCCAGGGGUUCAAAUGCCACAGAAAAAGGGGAGGAAGGAUAUCAAGGGACAACCAGAGGCCUCUGCCUCCUUCAGUGUGGCUGGAGCAGCUGUGGGGCGGGGGAAGUGGAGAGUCAGGGAAGGCUGAGGAGCAGACCCUUGCCCCCUGGGGAGAGGGACUGGCCACUAAUGUUAAGCAAGAUUGUGAACUGCUCUGACGUCUUCUGGGGGACAUUGGCGCCAGCAGUAGCCGUGUGUGGGGAUGGGCAAGGGUAUCCUGCUGUUGUCUGCUUGGGUAAUUUAUGAAGUUUCCUUUCAAUGGCUCAUAGUUUUUCAUAGAUGGAAGUAAAGCCUGCUUCUCUGGGAAUCACCCUUUCUACAAGCCUCUCCCUCUCAGAGAGGGUGGCCUGGAAGCACAGGGAGCUAGGGGUGAAGGGUCCAGCCUCCUGCUUUCCUGGGGCCUGUGCUGGCACCUGCUGGUGUCUGCUGGGCUCCAGGAUUCGGGCCUCAUGUGAGCCCCGUCGGCCCUCAGCGGGGGCGGCACCUUGCCCAUCACAGCUGGCCCGGAGCUGACCGCUGGCUUUUGGCCCGGGGACUCCCCACGAGGACCCACUUGGAGGGGCCUUGGAGAGCUCUAUGUCCAGGCUUCUCCUGCCCGACCAUGAUGGCCACUGUGUCUGCUUUGCUGUGAGUUGGCCCAAGG
rnacentral:lncRNA from 1 species